rnacentral:rRNA from 1 species
AUUGAACGCUGGCGGAAUGCUUUACACAUGCAAGUCGAACGGCAGCACGGGUGCUUGCACCUGGUGGCGAGUGGCGAACGGGUGAGUAAUACAUCGGAACGUACCCAGUCGUGGGGGAUAACGUAGCGAAAGUUACGCUAAUACCGCAUACGUCCUGAGGGAGAAAGCGGGGGACCGUAAGGCCUCGCGCGAUUGGAGCGGCCGAUGGCGGAUUAGCUAGUUGGUGGGGUAAAGGCCUACCAAGGCGACGAUCCGUAGCGGGUCUGAGAGGACGGCCCGCCACACUGGAACUGAGACACGGUCCAGACUCCUACGGGAGGCAGCAGUGGGGAAUUUUGGACAAUGGGCGAAAGCCUGAUCCAGCCAUUCCGCGUGGGUGAAGAAGGCCUUCGGGUUGUAAAGCUCUUUCGGCAGGGAAGAAACGGCUUGGGAUAAUACCCCGGGCUAAUGACGGUACCUGAAGAAGAAGCACCGGCUAACUACGUGCCAGCCGCCGCCGUAA